UUUACUAUGGAGAGUUUGAUCCUGGCUCAGGAUGAACGCUGGCGGUAUGCUUAACACAUGCAAGUCGAACGGUCUCUUCGGAGAUAGUGGC
rnacentral:rRNA from 1 species